CCAAAAGGCAUCCCCUAUGUACUUGCCGGCAGCCUCGGUAAUACGUACGGUGCAAGCGUUGUCCGGAAUUACUGGGCGUAAAGAGUUCGUAGGCGGUUUGUCGCGUCGUUUGUGAAAACCAGCAGCUCAACUGCUGGCUUGCAGGCGAUACGGGCAGACUUGAGUACUGCAGGGGAGACUGGAAUUCCUGGUGUAGCGGUGAAAUGCGCAGAUAUCAGGAGGAACACCGGUGGCGAAGGCGGGUCUCUGGGCAGUAACUGACGCUGAGGAACGAAAGCGUGGGUAGCGAACAGGAUUAGAUACCCUGGUAGUCCACGCCGUAAACGGUGGGCGCUAGGUGUGGGUUCCUUCCACGGAAUCCGUGCCGUAGCUAACGCAUUAAGCGCCCCGCCUGGGGAGUACGGCCGCAAGGCUAAAACUCAAAGGAAUUGACGGAA
rnacentral:rRNA from 1 species